rnacentral:rRNA from 1 species
UUGCUACUUUUGCCGGCGAGCGGCGGACGGGUGAGUAAUGCCUGGGAAAUUGCCCAGUCGAGGGGGAUAACAGUUGGAAACGACUGCUAAUACCGCAUACGCCCUACGGGGGAAAGCAGGGGACCUUCGGGCCUUGCGCGAUUGGAUAUGCCCAGGUGGGAUUAGCUAGUUGGUGAGGUAAUGGCUCACCAAGGCGACGAUCCCUAGCUGGUCUGAGAGGAUGAUCAGCCACACUGGAACUGAGACACGGUCCAGACUCCUACGGGAGGCAGCAGUGGGGAAUAUUGCACAAUGGGGGAAACCCUGAUGCAGCCAUGCCGCGUGUGUGAAGAAGGCCUUCGGGUUGUAAAGCACUUUCAGCGAGGAGGAAAGGUCAGUAGCUAAUACCUGCUGGCUGUGACGUUACUCGCAGAAGAAGCACCGGCUAACUCCGUGCCAGCAGCCGGCGG